rnacentral:lncRNA from 1 species
CCAUCCAAACCAAGUGUUUCUUAACACAGUCAUUACUAUCCCCCAGAGAAGAUCUCUCUGAGUGGACAUAUGGAACUCACUUGUUCUGAAGAGAUCGCUUCCUGGAGUUGAUGAUAGUUUUCCCUGUGUUUUUUGGAAAUCCCAAUUUGGUUUUCUCCAGUUCUGUCUGCCCUGGCCCCAGAGGACUUAUGUGAUUCUGGCGAAAGGACUAUUCAAAAGGGGGAGUUCUGACGGAAACUGUAGGGGCUGUGACUGCUCCUUCAGGGGGUGUGCUCUGUAUUUUAGCCCUGUGAUCUUCACUUGGAGCAAGGGUGAAGAUCAGCCCCAGCAUCACGCCUUCCAGUGCGUGAGCAGUGAGCAGGUGCAGAGGAGGGUUCAAAGAAAGCCCAGAGGGAAAGGCCAGUUCUCCCCAGUUAAGGCAGCCUCAGCCUGCCAGGUGGGCACUUUCCGGGUGCAACUUGCUCCAGUUCCUUGGUGCUUUGCAGAGCUAUCACCUGGCAGGUAC